rnacentral:pre_miRNA from 1 species
AUAAAAAAAAACCUUGAAUUUCCGUUUCUGUCCGUCUUAUAUGAAAUUUUUUUAUAAUUAGUAUUUUCAUUGUUGUUAGAUGAUAAAACAUAAUUAUUAUUUUAUGCGUGAUUUGUCUUUUUAUUUUUUUUUCAUAUUUUUUUCAAAUAAGACGGACGGUCAAACGUUAGAUACAGAAACCCAGGGUUUGUCUUUUU